AGUCUCCAGAGCACUGUCUAAUGUAACCCACUUCAGUCAUCUUGAGAGAGAACAACUGCAAUCCAGGAAGUUAUUUCUACGAGAACAGAUCUGUUUGCAAACUUUUUAUCUAGUCAGAAAAUCCACAACCACUGAAUCACAUUUCCUAUCAAAAAAACUUUUAGCAAACAUAAGCUACUCAACCAAAACUCAUCUUGUCUGACCAUUCCCAGAAGCGAGCGAGUGAUGCAGAAGAAUCUGAGCAACCUAUAGCUGCAAAUCCAAACCCAGAUCCAAUUUCCUCAUUGUGUACAAAUCACAAAGCUGUUGUCUGCUGUAAUCCAAGCAAUCAUUGCUUCCAGCUCUUUUAGCUCACCCGGCGGAAAGUCAUCUUUGCAUCUACCGCAUUCAAGCCUUCCUGAGGGUUAUAGUCAGGAUCAGUCAGAUAACAAAUGCUUUCUGCUUUCUGAUGGGUCGGAUGAGAUGGACUCCAGGACCAAAUGGCUCCCUCUUGCAGUUAGUCAGGGGUUAGACAGUUAUCACUGGCUUCAGGAAGGGCUCUUCUAGCCCAGAUUCCCCUAUCAGCAGCAACAAGGCACAGUGGGAACAACGUUGGCUGGCUAAGGAGGCUGGUGCCUAUGAGAAGCCAACAGGGAAGGGGGCCAGCUGGGAUCUUGUGCUUGCUCUGGGCAAAAGAGGCGCAAAGGGAGGGAGAAACCGAGAUGCUCUGAAGCAGGGAUUAAGGUUUACACAUGGGUUGUGUACACUGGCACAAAAUUGACAUUUACUAACAUAAAGGGGAACACUUCUGCCUUUCUAGGCUUAACAGCCUUUUCUAAAGCGAUGAUUGAAGGGGCCAGAAGACACCAAGCAGUCAACUGCGAUGACCACAGGCUCUGUACGAGCUCCACAACACUGAACGUCAGCACAAAGAUAGCUGUGGGACCUGGCUCUCAUGUGUCUGUGGUGGGUAUCACACAUGGGUGUUAAGAGGUGGGGAUUCAGGGUGUACUGGAUGAUGUCAGCGGGGAAAAAUUGCUCCUCCCUUGGCAGAGUGGCAGCACAAAGCAAUGUGAGACCCUGUGCACUCUCCUGAGUGCUUUGUAAGCAAAGCUGUGAUACAGUGAGAGCUGCCAGCCUGGCUUCCUUUCCCCAGAUGGGAUAAACCAUCCCCAGUGCUCCAUCCCAACCCAUGUACUGUCCAGUCCCAGCCAUUAGCCCUCUCUGCUGCUCCUCAGCAUGGGAGCCAAAGCAAACAUUCCCCUGCUAAUGAGACAGGCUUCCAGUGCCUGCUGAUGCCUGGUGCUCCCCAGCUCCCCCCAUCAUUGCUCACCUCGUUUACAUGUCUUCAUUUGCCAAGCACCGUCUGAACACUUUGUAGGCUGCCUUCUCCCCUGAGCUCCAGAGCUAUGAAAAGGUCACCUGCCUGACAGGGAGAGGCACUGGAAGUAAACUCAUGUGUUUUCCUCUAUUCAAACACCAGAUGUGACGUGGGAAGAUGAACCAGCUGCCAAGAACCCACUUGGCAUGUACGCUGCCAUGCAGCACUUUGUCCAGGCCCUGCCUACCUGCCACAUAUCAUUAGUUGUUCCUGUUUCAAGGCUGUACCUCUCCGUGCUGUCUCGAUGUUAUGGAUGCCUUAUUUCUCCUUGGAAGUAGAAACCUGUGGGUGCAUACUAAAAACCCCAAAGCACUGUACAGAUAGCCACCCUUUAGAUUACCUGGGAGACCUGACAUGCCUGUUACUGUAGGUGCGCACAUGGAAGCAAAAGAGGGCUCACAAGAUCUCUUCCUCCCCUUGGAAACUCAGGAUACAGAACUGUGAUGCUGCCUGGAGAGAAACCCCCAUGACAAGCAGUAGCAGCUCCCUGUCUGCCACGAGGGCAGCAAACCCAGUUUGAACUGUUAUCUUCAUGCAUGCUGUGUAGCUUCAGGGACUAUGACCUUGGUUUGAAAGGUAUUUAAUGUCUACAAGGAAGAUACAGUCAAAACAAUUUCCUUCUACCAAAGUGAAACAUAGCAGAAAAAGAAAUGAGAAGGAGUGAGAGGAGACUGGGCAGUGCUUCAGUCAGUCCUAUUUUGAGGGAGAUGUCUGCUUGGGGCAGCCCUGGGUGCUGAGCUGGCCCUAGGUGCUCAGUUCUGAAUGCUGAAUCUGAACCAUCUCUGAGGAUGGCACAGCUGGAAAUGGACCACAAAACAGAGAUCUGAGGGGAUGCGGGCAGGCUAGUGGUAGUUUGGGCAUCCCCUCUGCCUCCUUCACAAAGGCAUCCCAUUUACUGUUUUCACAGUUCCUAUUUAACACGUGGAUGAAGCUUUUUUCCUCUCUAGCAGCUAUAGCGACAAGCCUUCCAGCACAGCCCAUCCUGAUGGCUUAGAGUGGAAAUGGGACAAGGGGAAAAGUGAGUCAAAACAGGUCUGAGACAUAGCAAGCAGCUGUCCAGAGAUACCUGAACCUUCCUUGCAAUGCUCUCUGUAAGAUUCAUCCAUUCCUCCCAUGGCAAUGGAACCUGGGUCUUGAUUCCUCUUCUGUGUCCAGAAUGUAUUUGCAGAUGUGACAGCUUCCUCCAUGUAGACCCCUAUCUCCUGACUGCCCCAUCCAGUCUCUUGCUCUUAGCAUCUGCUGCAAGGAACAUCAGGGCGCUUGUUGGAUGCUUACACCAAAGGAAGAGGCUGAGGGCAAAUCCAUGAGAACACUUUGCUGUGUCCUUCCCUGACCUGUGUAACUCCAGCUUUGUGUCCCCUGGUGCUGUAUUUACACUACAAGUGCUUUGACUUUUGCUUUGUCUUUUCACAAUGAGCAGUACCAGUGAAAUCUCAUCCACACCUGCGGUUCUCAGAUGUCACCACAAUAAAAACCAUUACAAUA